UACGUAGGGGGCAAGCGUUGUCCGGAAUUAUUGGGCGUAAAGAGCUCGUAGGCGGCUUGUCACGUCGGGUGUGAAAGCCCGGGGCUUAACCCCGGGUCUGCAUUCGAUACGGGCUAGCUAGAGUGUGGUAGGGGAGAUCGGAAUUCCUGGUGUAGCGGUGAAAUGCGCAGAUAUCGGGAGGAACACCGGUGGCGAAGGCGGAUCUCUGGGCCAUUACUGACGCUGAGGAGCGAAAGCGUGGGGAGCGAACAGG
rnacentral:rRNA from 1 species